UACAGAGGGUGCGAGCGUUGUUCGGAAUUAUUGGGCGUAAAGGGCGCGUAGGCGGUGCGGUAAGUCACCUGUGAAAUCUCCUGGCUCAACUGGGAGCUUGCAGGCGAAACUGCCGUGCUGGAGUGUGGGAGAGGUGAGUGGAAUUCCCGGUGUAGCGGUGAAAUGCGUAGAUAUUGGGAAGAACACCAGUGGCGAAGGCGGCUCACUGGCUCGUAACUGACGCUCAGGCGCGACAGCGUGGGGAUCAAACAGG
rnacentral:rRNA from 1 species